rnacentral:ncRNA from 2 species
CGAUGGGGUAGAGGCUGCGAAAUUAAUGAGUAAACAGGGCGAGGAUGACAACGAAGACCGCUGUUGAAAGGUAGUUUUGCCGAAAUGCAAGAGAGGCGUCACCUCUUUUGGCAUUGGUGUUGCUUUGAAAAAGGGUAACACUCUUAUUGCAAAAACGUAUCUUUGCAAUAGGGAGCUACAGAUCGU